AUAUCGUAUAAAAUCAUUUCAGAAAGCUAGCUUUCAAUAUGGAAUUAGGUGAAAAUCCUAAACUGUCGUGCAACUGUGUUUCUUUUUAAAAAGAUAAGUCAGAUACAUAGAAAUGAUUUUGUUUGGGC
rnacentral:ncRNA from 1 species